rnacentral:lncRNA from 1 species
UACAAGUCUUUCCUCUUAUAAGUGCAUUGGAUGGCCGACCGGUUCUUUCUUCAAAUGGUUACUCCAGUUGCAGGAAAUUCCUGACACAACCAUGAUCUUAAACAUGGUCGCCGGUGCUGCCGUAUUCAUUUACGCCAUGGUAUGGAUCACGAAGCAGUUGAAUUUGCUCCCAAGUCCUCCUGUUGAGCCGCCUGAGAUAACCACGCCGUUUUAUGACCGACAUGCAGUACCGCCAAAACUGCAAGGCUGAUCAGAACGAUUUCAUCAAUUUAUUACUCAAUAUAGGGUCUCUGGUGUGGGUCUGUUCGUGUACUUCAUGAUAUGGCUGACGAAGAAGUUGAAUGAGCUGCCGAGUCCCCCGAUGCCUCCAGAGACGACCACUCCAAUCCUUGACCGUCAUGUAAUCAAACCUCCACCACAAGGCUGAAUGAAGCCU